AACGAACGCUGGCGGCGUGCCUAACACAUGCAAGUCGCGCGCGAAAGUCUUCGGAUGAGUAGAGCGGCGCACGGGUGAGUAACACGUGGGUAAUCUGCCCUUAGGUCUGGAAUAACUCGGCGAAAGCCGUGCUAAUACCGGAUAAUACCAAUUCUCGAAAGUGAGUUGGGAAAGCGGAGGCCUCCUUCGGGAGCUUCGCGCCAAAGGAUGAGCCCGCGGCCCAUCAGCUAGUUGGCGGGGUAAUGGCCCACCAAGGCUAAGACGGGUAGGCUGGUCUGAGAGGAUGAUCAGCCACACUGGAACUGAGACACGGUCCAGACUCCUACGGGAGGCAGCAGUGGGGAAUCUUGCGCAAUGGGCGAAAGCCUGACGCAGCAACGCCGCGUGUGUGAUGAAGGUCUUCGGAUCGUAAAGCACUGUCGGCAGGAACGAAGGUUUGCUGGGUAAUACACCAGUAGAUUGACGGUACCUGCAAAGGAAGCACCGGCUAACUCUGUGCC
rnacentral:rRNA from 1 species